UCGGAACUCAUCGAACGUAUGAACCUAUGGUGGUUUAUAGGCUCUGCAGAGCCUUGCCUCAAGGGGUUAUCACCCAACAACAUAUAAGAUUAAUCAUUUUCGCACCUAGGACCAAACAUUGUCCAUAAACUAUAACCUCCUACCACUCUUCACUACACAACAUACUUUUUACUCUAUCUUAGUGUAAAAGAUUAUUAAAGUGUCAAGAUACACUAUCAUGGAAUCUCGUAUGUCAAGACAUACACAAAGUUAUCACCACAAAAUAUUUAUCCUUGAAAUUCCUUCAACAUUAUCACCAUACAU
rnacentral:lncRNA from 1 species